UACGAGGGGGCGAGCGUUGUUCGGAAUUAUUGGGCGUAAAGGGUGCGUAGGCGGUUUGGUAAGUCUGAUGUGAAAUCUAUGGGCUCAACUCAUAGUCUGCAUCGGAAACUGCCGGGCUUGAGUGUGGGAGAGGUGAGUGGAAUUCCUGGUGUAGCGGUGAAAUGCGUAGAUAUCGGAAAGAACACCAACGGCGAAAGCACUCUGCUGGGCCGACACUGACACUGAGAGACGAAAGCUAGGGGAGCGAAUGGG
rnacentral:rRNA from 1 species